rnacentral:rRNA from 1 species
CCUACGGGUGGCAGCAGUGGGGAAUAUUGCACAAUGGGGGAAACCCUGAUGCAGCGACGCCGCGUGAGUGAAGAAGUAAUUCGUUAUGUCAAGCUCUAUCAGCAGGGAAGAAAAUGACGGUACCUGAGUAAGGAGCCCCGGCUCACUACGUGCCAGCAGCCGAGGUAAUACGUAGGGGGCAAGCGUUAUCAGGAUUUACUGGGUGUAAAGGGAGUGUAGACGGCAGUGCAAGUCUGGAGUGAAAGGCGGGGGCUCAACCCCCGGACUGCUCUGGAAACUGUACGGCUGGAGUGCAGGAGAGGCAAGUGGAAUUCCGAGUGUAGCGGUGAAUGGCGUAGAUAUUAGGAGGAACACCAGUGGCGAAGGCGGCUUACUGGACUGUAACUGACGUUGAGGCGCGAAAGUGUGGGUAUCAAACAGGAGGAGAGACCCGUGUAGUC